AUGGGUUGGCUGUUUCCCCUCAGAGAAGAGAGUGAAGACAGAGGGAAGCGCUCUUUACUCUGCGAGAGACAAGAUAAAGUCACAGACGCACACUCCCUUAACAGAAGCACAUUCUGUUCUUCUUAAUGCUGUUCCAAGUGCAACCAUUUUCAAAGCUUUAAAUACCUUAAUUGAGGAAGUUAAAACAGCCUAGCUUCUUUCCAUGCCAAAUUUAUUGGAAGAAAACAUCUGUUUUCAAGAUGAGAGAAGCUAAAGGAGCAAAGUGGAAUGAGUCUCUCGGGACUGAAGGAUGCCUACAGAUGUUCCCUCAACAUAGAGUUCUGCAUCAGCGUCCCCACAUAUGGUGCAGGGAAGCAAUGUCCUUCAUUCAGGCUUCAAGGUCCCAGAAGGUUUGGCCCAGUGAGGUGAACUCAUUACUAUGAGGUGAACAUUGAGGGUAAGCAGAAUGUCACACCUAGGGGAAGUCAACAUGCAAGUGGCCACUCUGUAUUGAGGUGCAAUCUUCCACUGCCUCAGAAAAGCAUUCAGAUAUGAUUUGAAGAAAUUCUUAAUUAGCAUUUUGGUCCUCAUCCAAGAGGCAGCAUAUAUUUGCUACAACUGCUAAUAUAAAGCUGCUAACAUUUAGCUGCCAUGACUAGUAGCCACUGAUAGUCUCAUCCUCAAAACAUCUGAAUUGUCAAUAUAUAUAUAAUUUCUUGCCCACUUUAGCAAUCAUGUACCAAGCAAUUACUACAUCAGUUUUAGUCUAUUAAAUGGGAAGAUGUAUGUGAUGAUGUAACAAAAGGAACUUUGCUUUUCUGUUCAUGUCAGUCUCAGGACAAUUAAGUCAGGCAGGCAGAAAAAUAAAAAUGACUUUGUCUUGUCA
rnacentral:lncRNA from 1 species